rnacentral:rRNA from 1 species
UGAGGAAUAUUGGUCAAUGGGCGGGAGCCUGAACCAACCAAGCCGCGUGAGGGAGGAAGGCCCUAUGGGUCGUAAACCUCUUUUGUCAGGGAACAAAAGCGAGUAUGUAUACUAGUCUGAGUGUACCUGAAGAAAAAGCAUCGGCCAACUCCGUGCCAGCAGCCGCGGUAAUACGGAGGAUGCGAGCGUUAUCCGGAUUUAUUGGGUUUAAAGGGUGCGUAGGCGGCGGUGCAAGUCAGCGGUAAAAGCCCGGGGCUCAACCCCGGCGAGCCGUUGAAACUGCAGUGCUAGAGAAGGCGAGAGGUACGCGGAAUGCGCAGUGUAGCGGUGAAAUGCUUAGAUAUUGCGCAGAACUCCGAUUGCGAAGGCAGCGUACUGGCGCCUGACUGACGCUGAGGCACGAAAGCGUGGGGAUCGAACAGGAUUAGAUACCC